AAAUUUCAAUUCCCGAGUCAAGACUUAAAAAGGAGCGGAUCCUAUUCGGGUCAAAGUUCCAAUCCGGGUCAUAAUUAUUUUUCUCAACUCUGUCUGCCUCUUCUCCUCUCUCGCGACUUUCCCUUUCCUAUGCAGAUUUGCCUCAGCCCUCCAUCUUUGUUCAAACGAUUCAUCAAGAUAUGGAAUGCAUAUGCUGAACAUCUCAAAGAUGUUGGAUUGAUUUCCGCAUCAAAUUGGGAGGAAUUUUGUUUGAGAUUAUGGCCGCAAUACCCAUCUCUCCGUCCAGCCACUGCUGUUCUACAUCUUCGGCUUGUUCCAAUUCAUCCUCUAUUUGGUCACACCAAAAUCCCAUUUAUUUUCUAUUUCAUGCCACUUCUCCUAAACCCAAAUACUGUUCUCUGCAAUGGAAGGGAACUCAUCUUGGAAGCCCAGAUCCAAAAGGGUGCUUCAUACAUGGACAUCCAUGAGUCUGACUCCGAUGAUGGAAGAGACGAUGAGAGUUCCUUCGACUAAGAUAUUCACUAUUCUUCAAGUUGUGAAAUUUUCUCAUUAGUCAGUCAAUGACAUGAACAAUGCAUGGUGAAAGAGCCCAGUCUUGACUUUUCCAUAGCAGGCGAGUUAUAUAUAAGACGGCUCUAUUAUGGAAGUGACAGAACUUGUAAGGAAUAGCUUAGAUUGACUAGGCAUUGCUUUACUGUGCUAUGUUUUAAGUUAAAAGAGAGAGGUUUGAAAACUACAAGAAAUAUCACGGUUGAUGAAGUAGUAGCCAUGUUUCUAUAUGUCAUCUCUUUUAAUUUAACAAACCGUAAAGUCGGCUUUGAUUUCAUUAGAUCUGGAGAGACUGUUAGUAGAUACUUCCAUAUAGUUUAAAUACUAUACUAAAAUUAGGAAGUCAUUAUGUUCUCAACGAGAAACAAUCAUGGAAGGCUUCGAAGAUGAAAAAUGGGAUUGGUUUGAAGCAAGUAUUAUUCUAUUUGUUUUUUUUUAAUUUAUCUAAAAUUAUACGAACUAAUUAGUAGUUUCGUGACGUAGAACUGUCUCGGGGCACUUGAUGGAACACACGUUGAAGUAAGUGUUUCAUUGAAAGAUCAAGGAAGAUAUAGAAAUAGAAAGGGUAGGAUAACAACCAAUCUUUUGGCUGUGUGUUCUCAUGACUUGAGGGUUUACAUAUAUUUUACCUAGAUGGGAAGGAUCUGCAACAGAUAGCAGAGUAUUACGAGAUGCACUUACUAGAAAUGAUCCGUUCAUAGUACCUAAAGAUAAGUAUUUUCUGGUAGAUGCUGGAUAUACCAAUGGACCUGGCUUUCUAGCUCCUUAUAGAGGUAUUCAAUACCAUCUCAAUGAGUGGUCCACUAGAGGAAACAAUCCACAAAAUCCAAAGGAGUUAUACAACCCGAGACAUGCAACUGCUAGGAAUGUGAUAUAAAGAGCUUUUGGGUUAUUCAAAAAACGAAGGAAAAUUCUUAGAGAAGUAUCCUUUUUUGAUGUCAAAACGCAUGUGAUGAUCAUCAAUGUUUGUGCUAUUCUUCACAAUCUUAUUCGAGUAGAAGCACCUAAUGAUCCAUUGUUGGAUGAAGUGGAUGCUGAGAUUCAAACUAGAGUUACUCAACAAGGUGAUGAUCAUAAUGAGGGGGAAGAGAAUCAACCAACUUUGCCGGGUGAUUAUCAUACUGCGGAAGAGACUCAACACUCGGAUCGAAUUACAGUUGUUCAAGUUACUAAUGAGUGGACUAGAUUUCGGUAUAGUUUAGCCGAAGCUAUGUUUCUUCAUUAUCAAAAUAGGCGUAACUUUUAGUGUCGUGCUUAUGAAACUAAAUAUGUAAUAGAAUUGGUUUUUUGGUACAAUGUUUUGUGGUCCUUAUUAGACUAAAGCUCAACUUGAUAAGAUGUCUUUCAAUUUGAUCUUUGUUUGAAUUUGAAUA